rnacentral:rRNA from 1 species
CACCGGCUAACUCCGUGCCAGCAGCCGCGGUAAUACGGAGGGUGCGAGCGUUAAUCGGAAUUACUGGGCGUAAAGGGUGCGUAGGUGGUUUAGUAAGUUAUCUGUGAAAUUCCUGGGCUUAACCUGGGUUGGUCAGAUAAGACUGCUGAACUGGAGUAUAGGAGAGGGUAGUGGAAUUUCCGGUGUAGCGGUGAAAUGCGUAGAGAUCGGAAGGAACACCAGUGGCGAAGGCGGCUACCUGGCCUAAUACUGACACUGAGGCACGAAAGCGUGGGGAGCGAACAGGAU